CAGCAGUGGGGAAUAUUGCACAAUGGGGGAAACCCUGAUGCAGCGACGCCGCGUGAAGGAAGAAGUAUCUCGGUAUGUAAACUUCUAUCAGCAGGGAAGAAAAUGACGGUACCUGACUAAGAAGCCCCGGCUAACUACGUGCCAGCAGCCGCGGUAAUACGUAGGGGGCAAGCGUUAUCCGGAUUUACUGGGUGUAAAGGGAGCGUAGACGGAAGAGCAAGUCUGAUGUGAAAGGCUGGGGCUUAACCCCAGGACUGCAUUGGAAACUGUUUUUCUAGAGUGCCGGAGAGGUAAGCGGAAUUCCUAGUGUAGCGGUGAAAUGCGUAGAUAUUAGGAGGAACACCAGUGGCGAAGGCGGCUUACUGGACGGUAACUGACGUUGAGGCUCGAAAGCGUGGGGAGCAAACAGGAUUAGAUACCCUGGUAGUCCACGCCGUAAACGA
rnacentral:rRNA from 1 species